CCAUAAACUGAUGAUCAGCGAAUCAGCGGAUUGGAAUUAACACCUGCUCAUACACGACCUCCGUUCACGCGGCCAGGUUGGCCUAGUUGUGAAUCUGAUGCAGAAGUGUGAACGACGAUCAUCAUACGUUUCAUAAGAGGCAUAUUCCUAAUUUGAUACAAGUGCAAGCUCUGACAAGCCGUCAUCCAACAGAGAACAUGUACCAACAGGAUUCCGUUUUCAGUGAUGAAUUUGAGUCGCCCGCAUUGCUGAGUUGUGACUGCCAGCGGCCCAAGGUACUUUGAAGCAUGAGUGAGCAGUUCCAUUGCUGAGAAUUGUGAUAGUGCCAGAAUGAUCUGAUUCUGCCUAGAAUAAGAAAGAAGAGUUCGGUAGCUGUGCCAUGAAGAGGUUAGCCAAGGAUAUGUCUGGUGAUGUUAGUUCUUUAUAUUUUAUCUUUAUAGAUAUUGUUGAACGUUUAUAUAAUAAUGCAUGUGUGUACUGGACUCUGUCAUUAUACGUAUUGUAUAUUUGUGUAAAACCCGAUUAAAUUUAAGGUUAGCAUGGAUCAGCUGAUGAUGGUGCUGUGGAAAUAGAUGAAACUACAAAAGACACUGAUAUUCUUCUUGAACUAAUUUUUAGUAUGUCAUAAACAUAAUGCACUAUUAAUAUUUAAAUGCAGACAAAUCAGAGGAGUACCACUUGUAUUGAAACUUGUGUAAAAUAAUGUAGGCACCAUCACCCACUCUUACAGUAAGGCCAAAACAAAAUAUAGGUGUGGUUAUGGUUUCCCGACCGACCCUAUUUAUUCCCAGCGACCCUAAACAUUUUAAUUGUCAAUUUUCUUUAAAGUAAAAAAAAAUAAAAAAUAUGAAUUGGACAGUUCCUGCUUCAAAAGACAUUCUUGCACAUUUCAAAAGCACAUUCUUCGGACAUGGUUCGUAAAUAAAACAUUUCAAGAAAAUAAAAUGUUUUCCCUACCUACCUACCCUAUUUUUUUUCGGCAUGUAACGGUAACCACACAUAUUUUGUUUUGGCCUAAUGCUAAUUUGUGAUAAAAAAGUUAAAGCAGUAGUUCUUGUAGUUUGUAUUGUUUUUGUGUAUUGGUGUUAUGGUGAUAUCAAUGCAAUGUAGGUAUAGUGCAGCAUGGAAUUAUUGGUAUCAUUCUGCCCAGUAAAUGUUUAGUAAUUUCAAAUACUAGAGCAAUAUAAUCUGCAGUUUUGUCCAUGCUCGUACAGUGAUCUGUCAUGAGUUGUAACGAUUGAACUAGAAACGGUGGCGUGCGUGCGUAUGUUGGGGAGGGGGGAUAAUACCUCUGUAUGCCAUUUUUUGUGCAGGUUACUGGCAGAAGCAGUGCGGUGGACGCUCUAUUCUCCGAACGCCUUCGAACUAAGUAAGGUGGGCGAGAAUGUUACCCUCACAUGUCCUGGCUGCUCACUCAUGUUUGUAGACAAUGACGACCAGCUAGUUCCUAUUUAAGGUCUUUCUUGCCUUUGAGGCGAUUUUGUUUCAGAUAUGAACACACUGGAAACCCAGCAACUUUGAGUGAUAGCAGCAGCACCAGCAGCAGCAUCUCUCGGGGAUGAGCGGUCUUUCCUUCAGGACCGGUGGUGUGUGGGGGUAGUGAUGUGCUGCGUGAUAUGGGGGCUGAUGCUGAAGCUGAUGUACCUCGUCGUGAAAGAAAAGUCGGUUCAUCGGUGUGCGUAUGCGUGAGUGUGUGACAGCAGCCUGUUGUUGUGAAAUGUGCAGCGGCAAUGUCAACUGAUCGAUGGUUUUGUUAGCAUGCAGAAGAAUUCAUGCGUCAGGAUAGUCGGCCGCUGAAUUUAGCUGGUGACGUACGUGCACUGCAGAUUUCAGUCUUCGUCACAUGACAGCCAAUCUCAUCUUGGCGUUCUUACCUCAAUCUUGGUUGCAUGUCAAUCACAGCAGUGGUUAUCAGAUAGAACCAGCAGCGUGUUGAGACAGCGUCAGUUCUCCCCAUUCAGCUUUGUAUGUAACUAGUUCAGAAGUGUUUGCAGUUGGCUCUGGGAUUAGGUUGUGACGUCACUGACACUGCUGCAAGCAUCAAGUCACGAAGAAUAGAUCGAAGUGCGUAUGUUUACUUGUGAUAAGAUUAGGUUUCAAAGUGCAGUUAGGUGGACACACCACAUCGAUUCGCACAUAUAUUCGCUGGAAAAGGACGUUUAUUUGACAAGCAUUGUUAGUUUUUUAUGAAUAGAUCGCAGUGCGUGUAUUUACUUGUGAUAAUAUUGGUUUUCAAAGUUCACAGUUUGGUGAGCACAUCACAUCGACUUGCACAUGUAUUCACUGAAAAGAUAAAUUUAUUUGACUAGCAUUGUUUAGUUUUUAUUUAAGUGUAAACUUGAUGCAACUGACGUUAUGCUCACAGGAACAAAGGUUGGCUGGUGUACAGAGAAUUCAUCAGUUGUAUUGAUACGUAAAGCCAACUCUAAGCCUAUCGAUUGUUAUUUGAUACAAUAACAUGUCAACGUUAGUUUGGUUGUUUUCUACCAAUUUAUAAAGCAAGCUUUUGUGAAAACGGGUGUAUGGUAAUAAGGAAAAUGUCACAUGUUAAUAUUGUAUAUUUCUAAGUUAUAUUUAUUGCCUAUACUGUACUGUAAAAUAAUGUUCAUUCGAGAAUGUAUGGCUCAGUUUCAGACGGUACAACCAGUAAGCAACCAUCAUUUCUAUUCAGUCGCAUAGAACUAAGAUGAUAUGCGUGUCAUUGAUGCUAAUAAAUAAAAAAAGGUUAAUUUUUACCCGAACUAGGUUUACCAAAGAAGUAGGAAGGGUUAAAUAGGAGUGUUAUAUUGUAGGUGCGUCUUGUGAUCAAGAACUCGUGCAGUGCCGGACAAGAGGCUGAAAUUCGUUCGUGACUUUGAUGUGUAUGUGGUGGUGAUUGUGCAAGCUUUCGUUCAGAAUAAACAAUGAGUUGUUGAAAUGAAUCUGAUAAACACAAGAACUCAAUGCCGAAUCUAUUUUGCAGUGUGUCGUCUGUCAGUGGAGGCAGGUGAGAGGCGUUGUGGCUCACCAAUACCCGAUCGUCGCUUCUGUUAUUGCACUUGCUCGUGUGACAAAUAAAGAACUAAUAAGUUACUAAUA
rnacentral:misc_RNA from 1 species